rnacentral:tRNA from 1 species
UGCACCUUAGUAUAUGAGGUACUCAAAUUUUUGGUAUUUGCAGGGGUAGUUUGAUUCUACCAGGUGCAA